GCCCGGGUGGUGGAAUGGUAGACACGAAGGACUUAAAAUCCUUUGACUGCGAAGUCGUGCGGGUUCAAGUCCCGCUCCGGGUAC
rnacentral:tRNA from 1 species